ensembl:lincRNA uncharacterized LOC102005676
UGCCAGGUCCUGUCUGAGGUGGUGCUGGUGUUUGGGUUGCUAAUUUCUGGCCGCUGCUUCUGCAGGUAUCGGCUGGAUCCAUGUGUUCUGGUAGUGUACUCCGACACUGAGCUCUACAGACACAAAAAGAAGAAGAAGAAAAAGAGGAGGCACUCAGGGAAAUCAGAAGACUCUGUAAAAGAACCAAGACUGUACUUACUGAAGGCCUUGAGAUGUGAGACUGUCCACCAUUUCCGGAGACCCGAGGGCAGCUUCCUGCUCUCCAGUGGCCUGGCUGUGGAGGGCGUUGGACCUUUCCAAAAGAAAACCAAGCAUUUAAGGAUGGAGAGCAGGGCCGACAGGUGCCACCUGUUAGAGUAUGGCCAGGGUGAUUAAAACCUUGGCCUCCAAACAAAAAAUGCACUAGUGAAGAUUCAGCGUGUUCCAGAGAAGCCAUGCCAGUUGCACUUAACUUUGAAACAGAAAUUUGUUCAAAUCUACGUGGUGCUUCCUUGCUAAAUACUGUACAGAUUUCACCAUAGCUUUUUUCUUUUGAGUUUUUACCUUUCCUUAAUUACCCUUAUUCCAAAAGAAUGAACACUUGCUACAACUGCUGACCACUGUAAACUAUGUAUAUAAAUCACAUUAAAAAUAAUGCCCUGGAAUAGAACAGUUCAAAUGCUGCUUAACUAUAGACUCAGGUCGAUGACUUGUAUUUUAUGUACUGUUCCUCCAAGUUAGACAUCUGGUGCAAGACCAACCGGGAAACCACGGAAUUAUUAAAAGUAUAAAUUGACAGUGCAUGUAUUUAAAGACAUUUAAAAAUGGACAAGCUGUCAAUUAGACUUUAAGGGCACUCUGUUUCCUGUAAGGUCUUAUCCUAGAAAUUAAUUUGUUUCAUAUUUUAGUUGUGUUCAAAAUUUAAAUAAUGUAUUUUAAGAGAAGUUCUGUUUUUUAACUUGGUGGAACUAUUCCAAUCAACUUACCAUUUAUGAUAAGUGUUCACAUUAGGAAUGUACAAUCCAAACACUUGUAAAUUUUACAGUAUAUUUUUAUUACAUAAAGUUUUUUUAGACUGUGUCUCGGUCACCUGUAGGAUAUUGGAGUCUGAGUUACCAGCCUGGGUCCCUUAAGGUUCCUAGUUACAGACAAAAUCACUCUGUAAUUUUAUUUUGAAUAUGGAUAUGCUAUCAAGCUGUGUGUGAUACACUUAUAAUUCACUGGUCCUGCCUCAGGAGACGGAGUGGGAAAACUGUAUUGAAUAGUUUCCAUCUGAAUAAUCUGUAUGGUUUAGACAGUUUAUGUUGUUCAGAGAUGUCUAAAGUUAGAUCUUUUGUUUUUUAAGAUUAAAAAAACACUUGCCCCACUGUAAAUAUUCAACAUGUACUAUGUAUAUGUGUAUAAAUGGCAGCAAAAAGUAAAUAAAUGGCAGCAAAUUAAACAC